CGGGUGACGAGCGGCGGACGGGUGAGUAAUGUCUGGGAAACUGCCUGAUGGAGGGGGAUAACUACUGGAAACGGUAGCUAAUACCGCAUAACGUCGCAAGACCAAAGAGGGGGACCUUCGGGCCUCUUGCCAUCAGAUGUGCCCAGAUGGGAUUAGCUAGUAGGUGGGGUAACGGCUCACCUAGGCGACGAUCCCUAGCUGGUCUGAGAGGAUGACCAGCCACACUGGAACUGAGACACGGUCCAGACUCCUACGGGAGGCAGCAGUGGGGAAUAUUGCACAAUGGGCGCAAGCCUGAUGCAGCCAUGCCGCGUGUAUGAAGAAGGCCUUCGGGUUGUAAAGUACUUUCAGCGGGGAGGAAGGCGAUAAGGUUAAUAACCUUGUCGAUUGACGUUACCCGCAGAAGAAGCACCGGCUAACUCCGUGCCAGCAGCCGCGGUAAUACGGAGGGUGCAAGCGUUAAUCGGAAUUACUGGGCGUAAAGCGCACGCAGGCGGUCUG
rnacentral:rRNA from 1 species